rnacentral:misc_RNA from 1 species
AGUCGUAACAAGGUUUCCGUAGGUGAACCUGCGGAAGGAUCAUUACCGAGUGCAGGUCUGCCCCCGGGCAGGCCUAACCUCCCACCCGUGAAUACCUGACCAACGUUGCUUCGGCGGUGCGCCCCCCCGGGGGUAGCCGCCGGAGACCACAUUGAACCUCUUGUCUUUAGUGUUGUCUGAGCUUGAUAGCAAACCUAUUAAAACUUUCAACAAUGGAUCUCUUGGUUCCGGCAUCGAUGAAGAACGCAGCGAACUGCGAUAAGUAAUGUGAAUUGCAGAAUUCAGUGAAUCAUCGAGUCUUUGAACGCACAUUGCGCCCCCUGGCAUUCCGGGGGGCAUGCCUGUCCGAGCGUCAUUGCUGCCCUUCAAGCCCGGCUUGUGUGUUGGGUCGUCGUCCCCCCUGGGGGACGGGCCCGAAAGGCAGCGGCGGCACCGCGUCCGGUCCUCGAGCGUAUGGGGCUUUGUCACCCGCUCGAUUAGGGCCGGCCGGGCGCCAGCCGGCGUCUCCAACCUUCUAUUUUACCAGGUUGACCUCGGAUCAGGUAGGGAUACCCGCUGAACUUAAGCAUAUCAAUAA